UCAGCUUGUUGGUGGGGUAAUGGCCUACCAAGGCGUCGACGGGUAGCCGGCCUGAGAGGGUGGACGGCCCACAUUGGGACUGAGACACGGCCCAAACUCCUACGGGAGGCAGCAGUGGGGAAUAUUGCACAAUGGGCGCAAGCCUGAUGCAGCGACGCCGCGUGGGGGAUGACGGCCUUCGGGUUGUAAACUCCUUUCAACCAUGACGAAGCUUUUUGUGACGGUAGUGGUAGAAGAAGCACCGGCUAACUACGUGCCAGCAGCCGCGGUAAUACGUAGGGUGCGAGCGUUGUCCGGAAUUACUGGGCGUAAAGAGCUCGUAGGUGGUUUGUCGCGUCGUCUGUGAAAUUCCGGGGCUUAACUCCGGGCGUGCAGGCGAUACGGGCAUAACUUGAGUACUGUAGGGGAGACUGGAAUUCCUGGUGUAGCGGUGAAAUGCGCAGAUAUCAGGAGGAACACCGAUGGCGAAGGCAGGUCUCUGGGCAGUUACUGACGCUGAGGAGCGAAAGCAUGGGUAGCGAACAGGAUUAGAUACCCUGGUAGUCCAUGCCGUAAACGGUGGGCGCUAGGUGUGGGGGUCUUCCACGACUUCCGUGCCGUAGCUAACGCAUUAAGCGCCCCGCCUGGGGAGUACGGCCGCAAGGCUAAAACUCAAAGGAAUUGACGGGGGCCCGCACAAGCGGCGGAGCAUGUGGAUUAAUUCGAUGCAACGCGAAGAACCUUACCUGGGCUUGACAUAUGCAGGAUCGGCACAGAGAUGUGUUUUCCCUUGUGGUCUGUAUACAGGUGGUGCAUGGUUGUCGUCAGCUCGUGUCGUGAGAUGUUGGGUUAAGUCCCGCAACGAGCGCAACCCUUGUCUUGUGUUGCCAGCACGUUAUGGUGGGGACUCGCGAGAGACUGCCGGGGUUAACUCGGAGGAAGGUGGGGAUGACGUCAAAUCAUCAUGCCCCUUAUGUCCAGGGCUUCACACAUGCUACAAUGGUCGGUACAGUGGGUUGCUACACCGUGAGGUGGUGCUAAUCCCUUUAAAGCCGGUCUCAGUUCGGAUUGGAGUCUGCAACUCGACUCCAUGAAGUCGGAGUCGCUAGAAUCGCAGU
rnacentral:rRNA from 1 species